UUGCACAACAAUACAUAUGGUUAAAGCUCGGAGAUUAGUUGAUGAAUAAUUGUAUAUAAUCCGUCUAUCGAAAGAUGUUGACACUUCCCGUUCGGUGCAUCGUAUUUAUUGUUAAAAAAAGUUCAGUACAUCAAGUUGGUUCAAGUGCUACAAUUAAAAUUCCAUCCAAGUGUAAUGAAUAAUGGCUGACUUGCGGGGCUUGUUACCAACCCCCUAAAUUUUCGUAACACCAAAAUUUCCGGUGGCCUAUGGUGCAGAAUUUUGUUUGGCACUAGGACGAUGAUCAGCUUUCCCUAAAAUGGGAAACAGACGCUGUUGUGAGCCGCUUCUAACAUGGAGAACAGACGUUCGAUUAGAUUUGGACCCCAGGAAAUGAUCAAACCUCCCACCUUCCCUGUCAGCGUACGACCCUAGUUCCCACCGGAGUUGGUGACCCGAUCUUCCCUAAGGUGGCUCGUACACUGGCCAGCACCACGGGGAUGUAGGGAUAGGACGAUGGGAGUUGCUGGGUAAGAGGCUGAGGGCCACAAAAUUGGGUCUAUUUUAUUCCUUCAGGGGCGCGAAGCAACAAUGUACAAUGAAGAUUCCAUCCAAGUGGAAUGAAUAAUGGCUGACUAGCAGGGCUUGUCCCCUGAAUUUUCGGAAGACCUAAAUUUCCGGUGGACUAUGGAGCACAAUUUUGCUUGAAGAUCCUCGCCGGCACUCGGACGAUGAUUAGCCUCUCCUAAAAUAGGGAACAGACGCUGGUGUGAGCCGCUUCUAACAUGGAGAAUAGACGCUCGAUUGGAUUUGGACCCCAGGAAAGGAUCAAACCUCCCCCUUCCCUGUCAGCGUACGACCCUAGUUCCCACCGGAGUUGGUGACCCGAUCUUCCCUAAGGUGGCUCGUACACCGGCCAGCACCACGGGGAUGUAGGGAUAGAACGAUGGGAGUUGCUGGGUAAGAAGCUGAGGGCCACGAGAUUAGGUCUAUUUUAUUCCUUCAGGUGCGUGAAGUACCAAUGUUACGCUUUACCAUCCAUUU